CCUUGGCUUAAACCAUCAGUUUGGCCUUCAGUUCCACCCGAUGCUUCCUUUGAAGUGUUUGCUAAAGAAAAGAGGUGGGUUGUUGACACAAAAAUGGAUUCAGUAAAAGUUUGAAAAACAAUCAUCUCGAGACACAGGUGAGGUAUGAAGCAGUAGAAGAUUUUUUGUCUUUGUUGAAGGAAUGGGAAAAGUUGUGCCAGCAAUUCUGAUUUUUUGUUUCAGAUAAAAAGCCAGAGCAGAGUUUGAACUUAGUUAGCAAAGAAGAAGAAAAGGAAGAGGAAGAUGAUGAAGAAGAAAACAAUAAAGUCUUUCUAAUAUUUCUGAUGAGAAUUUUGAAGUGGAGUUGUUAUUGGUUAUUUGUUAUGGUGAUCCUAACAAAGUGAAGAAACCUAGAGUGUAUUUUAAGGUAUUCUA